UUUUUAAAUAGUUCAGAAUGGACAAGUGAAACAAGUAACUGACAAAUGUCAUUCUUUUGAAGGAAGAUGGAUAAAGAGUUUGUCUAAAGAGCAUCUAAAGAUGAUGCUGAGAGUAAAGCUUUUGGCUGAAGCACCUGAGUGAAGCUCUGUCUGUGCUUUCUAUAUCAUGUCACAAUCCUUUGUGUGGAAGGGUAGGUAAUACAUUCAGUGGUCCCUGUUGUAUUCUUUCUUUACCUGGUCAUUUAGCAUUGGACUUCUUGGCCUUCUUUUCUUUUCUUUCAAAACUAAGGGCUUUUCACAGAAAGACCUACUGAGCAGUCCUAAACUAGCUCCAUAUGUAUUUGCCUUUUUUUCCAUUAAGAUCAGAUUCCAGUGACAUAAGCAUAAAUGAGGAUGAUAGUGAACAGAAUACAGUUUUGAGAGAAAAAUCUGUGAAUAUUGUGAAUUUACCUUGCUGUUUGCUAAUAUGCUGUAGUUUCUUAAAUCUAAUUUUCAAGGCAUCUUAUCCUAAUGGGAAGGAGAAGAGACUGCUUAUUUCUAUAAGCCAUUUGCAUCGUCAUUUUAUUUCUUUUCCAGUACUGAACAAUUUUUGAAGCAACUGAGCCAAAAGGACAAGUGAGUCAAGUGUUCAGUUUAGCCUGUAAACUGCAGGCUUUGGGGAGUCAUGGAAAGAAACAGACUUUAUUUGCUCUGUUCUUAUGCUCCUUUCCCUAAGUGCUCACUUCACACUCUCCAAGUUUCCAGCAGAAAUGGUAUGUUGUGGGAAUUAUGUACUCUCUGGAACAUCUGGGUUUGCUAUGGAAAACAGCACGAUACUUUGCAUAACCAGACAGAUUACACCAAAAAGGAAUCAGACCUGGGAGGAACUGUGGACUCCUGGGUAUGUGUGAAAUUGCUCUUUCAACUUCGGUUGUCAUCUCAUCAUAGAAAUUGAAUAACUCUCCUGAAUCACAUGGCUAUAGUACUUUUAACAACAGAAAAUCAAAUUAAAAAAAUAAUAAUAAAUUUCAG
rnacentral:lncRNA from 1 species